GCUUAUCACCAUUCCAGAUUGAAUAUACCCGAUCUCGUCUGAUCUCGGAAGUCAAGCAAUCUCGGGCUUGGUUAGUACUUGGAUGGGUGACCGCUGGAGAAUACCAAGUGUGAUAAGCA
rnacentral:rRNA from 1 species